UACGUAGGGUGCAAGCGUUGUCCGGAAUUAUUGGGCGUAAAGAGCUCGUAGGCGGUCUGUCGCGUCGGCUGUGAAAACCCGAGGCUCAACCUCGGGCCUGCAGUCGAUACGGGCAGACUAGAGGCAGGUAGGGGAGAACGGAAUUCCCGGUGUAGCGGUGAAAUGCGCAGAUAUCGGGAGGAACACCGGUGGCGAAGGCGGUUCUCUGGGCCUGUACUGACGCUGAGGAGCGAAAGCGUGGGGAGCGAACAGGA
rnacentral:rRNA from 1 species